AUUUAACGCUGGCGGCAGGCCUAACACAUGCAAGUCGAGCGGAGCGGCGGACGGGUGAGUAAUGCCUAGGACUCUGCCUGGUAGUGGGGGAUAACGUCCGGAACCGGGCGCUAAUACCGCAUACUAUCAGAUGAGCCUAGGUCGGAUUAGCUAGUUGGUGGGGUAAAGGCCUACCAAGGCGACGAUCCGUAACUGGUCUGAGCGGAUGAUCAGUCACACUGAGACUAGGAGGCGGUCCAGAAUCCUACGGGAGGCAGCGGUGGAGAAUAUUGGGCAAGGAGAGAGAGCCUGAAGCGGCCAUGCCGCAUGAAUGAAGAAGGGCUUCGGAUUGUGGAGCACUUUAAGUUGGGAGGCGUUACCAACAGAAUAAGCACCGGCUAACUUCGUGCCAGCAGCCGCGGUAAUAC
rnacentral:rRNA from 1 species